UGAGCAAUCUGCCCUUCUCUUCGGAAUAAGCGUUGGAAACGACGUCUAAUGCCGAAUACGACCUCCUUUCGCAUGAUCGGAGGUGGAAAGCUCCGGCGGAGAAGGAUGAGCUCGCGGCCUAUCAGCUAGUUGGUGUGGGUAAUGGCCCACAAGGCGACGGACGGGUAGCCGGCCUGGAGGAGGGUGACCCGGCCACACGUGGGACUGAGACACGGCCCAGACCUCCGUACGGGGAGCAGCG
rnacentral:rRNA from 1 species